UAUUCGUUAAUUCAGCAGAACUUUUGAGCUUUGUUUUUAGUAAGUUAUGGAGUUAUGGAAGAGUCAUGUGCGAGCUGCACUGUUUAAGAGGGAUUGUUUACAGAAAGAUUCCUUCUCUGGUCUCUUCUCUCAAGUAUCCCGACUGGAAGAACUGCUGAGUCUACACAUGAGUUUAUGGGAGGAUUUGGAGAGAGACAGCAAACGCAGUUCAAACACCAAUGGAAUAAAGAAACGCUCAUCUGAGAAGAAUGAUCAACCAAAGCUCUAUCUGCAGCUCAAAGAGGGUGAACAAGUGAGACAAAAGCUUGCUCAGACAGUAUCAGACCUGACCAGUGACCUGUACCUUAAGGAAGCAGAGCUACAGUACUGUCACUCACAAGUCACCCGCUAUCGAAAAGAAGCUGUGCUUUUGGCCAGAGAAGCAUGCUCCCUAAAGAAUGAUCUGUCUGAUGUUGGAUAUAAAGUGGAAUGUCAGUCCAAGGAGUUAGCAGUGUUGAGAUCGGAACAUGGGACACUAAAGAAGGAGAUGAAAAUGGUGCGUCAGGAAAAAGAGGAGCUACUUGAACGCUGGCUGGAGGAGAAACAAGAGGAGGCAGAGCGACUUAAUAAACACAACGCUGCUCUAGAAAGGUGGAAUCACUAUGCUGGUCGACUGAAUAAGCGUCUGCAUACAGGGUCUAGGCGUCAGUCGUGUGCAGGUACAAAUGGCCGGAUCAUGAAAAGAGACUUAACUGAUCGGACAUCUGCCAAACAUGAAUGAUCUUUUUGUUUCCCCCUUUUUUCCCCCCAAACUAGUCAUAUGCGAUUACCCUGGUUAUAUAUCUCCUUCACUGGUGUAGACCCAUUUCCUGACACACAUUCUCUGACACGGUUGCUUUUACCAACUGCUUCUUUUCACCUGCAAGAGGUGGAUUCACACAGGGAUCAGUAUCAUGUACAGAGUCCCGCUCUGAUCUCUAUUAGUUCCCUUUUUUGUGCAGGCACCACUGACCAGCAACCAGAGGCCGUAAUUAAAGGAGUCCCCCAGGCCCUCCCACCUGGCACGUCUAUGUGUAGGCACUCGCCUGGCUAAACUCGCAAGUUCAAGAGCUUAACACUGGUGGGCUUGUGUGUUUUACCACUGCACCACGCGAGUGCCCCUAAUCUUUCUGUUUUUGAGCUGAUGCACUGUGUUACUUUGCUGUAGUGAAAUGCAUUAACAAAAUAUUUUGUUGGAUAAAUCUGAAUUUUUUUAUUUUUUAUAUAAAAUUUGUUCUGUAUAAUUAUAUUCUAUAAUUAAUUUAAAGUAAAGUUUUUCAACAGACAAAACAUCCUUUUGAAAGCCAGGGCAUCUAACGAGCUGGCACACCACUGUGGAGUGUUUAAAUGUACCUGGCACAGAAAGCUCUAAUCUCAUAAUCUACCCCACAUGCCUGUGCAGAACAAAGACUGGAG